AAAAGUUACAGCUCUUUCAGAAUUUGUCCAGCAGGUUUUCUGGUUUUACUGGAAAAUACCUCA
rnacentral:snRNA from 1 species